GGGACUCAAUAAUAAAAAAGAAAGAAAAAGAGAAAAAAGAGAGACCAAGGUGAAAACCCGCAAAGGGCACCUUGUGACCAAAGGGAUUUAAGCUAAAAACCCGAAAAAGACGGCUCAAAUAUGGAUCCAAAGUGAGAGGGCUAUGAUCUUGCUAUACUUGAAUUAACCAUGAAGGAGGUAUAUUGCACCUUGGGGCGUUGACAAAGUGCUUCUGAUAUCUUAAACACAUGUCAAGUUUAAAUUGGUCUUCAAGAGGCUCGUACAGAGAAGCUCAGAUUGUGAUAACAAUGGUAUCUAGUCUUCAUUUUCAGCCAAUUGGUUAUCUUUGAAUUAUCCCUUUUUUUUUCAAGAUAUACAUUCCCAAAUUAAUGGCCAUUUUUGUUCUUUUGAGGAUUUAUUUUGAACUCAAGUUUAAUUCCAUUCUCGUCCGUUAUUAUGAUUUGAUUGCAAGCAUGUUGCAUUGACCCCUAGCCCAAAUACAAUUUCAACCCAAAUUCAUAAACCCCUAGCCCGAACAGCCCAAACUCAAAAGGAAUCCCAGCAGCCAAGCACCAGAAGCUUCUGGAACAUGCCAGAACAGUGCCAAGGGGUUGGGUCUCACGAGCGGUUUCCUCGCACGGUUUCUUUCAUGCGUGCCUCUCCUCGCUCCUUUGUACGGAUGAUCCUGCAAAAGGAAUACACGAGAAGAGGCCAAGCUAACAGAAUACAACAGAUGAUAGCAAAUAAAAUGUAUUUUUAUUUUUUAUUUUUCUCUGUAAAUUUGGCUAUAAAAGCCGAUGAUUGUACCUACAAAUGGACGGAUACGUUACGCACACUCUACGCAUACACAUACAAUAUACAUAUAUCAAAUCUAGAAAAUUUCAAAAAAAAAUAUCUGUAAAGGUGAUCUUCUUUAUUCUUUUAAUUUUUCUGUUAUUUCUAUCAAUUUUCCUGCAAGUAUUUUUCAUCAUUUGGUUUUCUGAAACAAAGAGAAUAAAAAGGCAAGUCUUACCUUGCAAAUCAGCCAUGGAUCUCUGCCCUCUUCGCUGAAAAUCGAAGUUGGAAGGGUCCAAAGGCAUCAUCGAUCGUCGCUGGAGUGCCAUUGACCACCUGAUGAAGUGGUGUACUCGGUGGUUGCUGGAAUAUGCCCAAACAAAUUGAUUUUUAGGGCUGUGAAUUUUGGUGAAGUGGGGGCUGCGUUUAGAAAAUAGAUUUAGGAAAUGGAAGGUCUUAAAUGACCUGCUAAUGAAACGGCACCGUGUAAAAGGGGGGCCCUUUUGAGCCUAAAAUGGAUUAUUUAUGUAGCAGGCCCUUCCCCUUUGCGCCACAUUGUG
rnacentral:lncRNA from 1 species